AAAUUGAAGAGUUUGAUCAUGGCUCAGAUUGAACGCUGGCGGCAGGCUUAACACAUGCAAGUCGAACGGUAACAGGAAGAAGCUUGCUUCUUUGCUGACGAGUGGCGGACGGGUGAGUAAUGUCUGGGAAACUGCCUGAUGGAGGGGGAUAACUACUGGAAACGGUAGCUAAUACCGCAUAACGUCGCAAGACCAAAGAGGGGGACCUUCGGGCCUCUUGCCAUCGGAUGUGCCCAGAUGGGAUUAGCUAGUAGGUGGGGUAACGGCUCACC
rnacentral:rRNA from 1 species